GUGGAAAGUACUAAUUUAGUGUGAGGCAACAACACAGGUGGUGGGAUUCUUUUGCACUGUGAGUUGAGAUAUACGUACCAGCUUUCCAAAACAUUUGACCUGGUUGAGAUAUUUUGAACGGUUUACACCGUACUCAAUAAUAUUUCAGAGAGGAAGCCAGCAUGAGCUGGACUGGAGCGGCCGGAGAGGAAGCCAGCAUGAGCUGGGCUUGAACUCACAAAGACAGAAUUGACGGCGGCCAGGAUUGUGGUGGGAGGAAACUGAGCAGCCCCCGAUGGAAACUGACGACCACCCACAGGUUGCUGACAGAUCUUCCCACAACUGGACAGGAAGCCGUGGUAUGAGCCGAACUUGAAUUCACAUCUACCCACCCCGCGCCCACGGAGAUCCCCGUCCACCUCUCCCCUUAAGCUUAUAUGAAGGCCGGAUGACAACGACCCAUAGUUAUGUCUUUACAUUGCUAAAAAGGAUUCCAACCUUCAUUUAAUUAUUCGUUUAUUUAUUUUUUUAUUUAUUUAUUUUACUUUUUCAUCCAUCCUCUUGAUGUUUAACGCCAUACUUCUGAUUUUUUCACGCCAUACUUCUGAAUUUUUCACCUAGCUACCAUUAGCCAGCCUGACAAAUGUCCGGUGCUGCAAACUAGCUAUCAUUGACCAGACUGACAAAUUUCCCGUGCAGUAAACUAGCUAUCAUUGACCAGACUCACAAAUUUCCAGUGCAGUAAACUAGCUAUCAUUGACCAGACUGACAAAUUUCCCGUGCAGUAAACUAGCUAUCAUUGACCAGACUGACAAAUUUCUCGUGCAGUAAACUAGCUAUCAUUGAACAGAUUGAUAAAUUUCCCGUGCAGUAAACUAGCUAUCAUUGACCAGACUGACAAAUUCCCCGUGCUGUAAACUAGCUAUCAUUGAACAGACUGAUAAAUUUCCGAUGCCGUAAACCAGCAAUCAUAACCCGGCCUGACAAAUAUCCAGUGCAGUAAACUAGUCAUCGUUAACCAAACUGACGAAUUUCCGGUGCAGUAAACUAGCGACCAUUAGCCAGACUGACAAGAUCAUUAGCCAGACUUACAAAUUUCCUGUGCUGUAAACUAGCGAUCGUUAACCAGACUGACAAAUUUCCGGUGCAGUAAACUAGCGACCAUUAGCCAGACUGACAAGAUCAUUAGCCAGACUUACAAAUUUCCUGUGCUGUAAACUAGCGAUCGUUAACCAGACUGACAAAUUUCCGGUGCAGUAAACUAGUGAUCGUUGUCCAGACUGACAAAUUUUCUGUGCAUUAAACUAGCGAUCGUUAGCCAGACUGACAAAUUUCCGGUGCAGAAAUCUAGAAUUCGUUAACCAGACUUACAAAUUUUAGGUGCGGCAAACUAGCGAACGUUAGCCAGACUGACAAAUUCCCCGUACAUUUAACAAGCGAUCAUU